CCACAUUUCAACUAAGUUGAUUUUCUUCCUAUCCACUUCCUUCAUUGUCCACAUCUCACAUCUGUACAUGGUAAUGGGGAAUACGAUGGCUUGGACGCUUCUGACUGUAAUGCUCAGAUUCAUAUCUUUGCUUUUCAAGAUUUUUUUCUAGUUCUUUCAUUGCUGUCCUUCCUGUUCCUUGGCUUAUCUUGUAAGAGCUCUGGUGGUGCAGUGAUUAAAUGCAGGUACUGCAGCCGCUCAGUCACAAACCACACGGUUGUGAGUUUGAUCCUAGUCAGGGGCUCAGAGUUGAUUCAGUCUUGCAUCCUUCCUAGGUGGCUAAAAUGAGUACCCAGAUUGUCAGGGGCAGUUAGCUUACACUUUGUAAACCGCUUAUGGUGUGCUUAAGUGGACUGAUAAGCGGUAUAGAAAUGUACUUGCUAUUGUUAUUAUAGUACACUAAAUCACAUUAUUUCCCCCCCCUCCCCUAUUGUGAAUGGUUUUCUCUCUUUGGUGCAACCCUUUGUUUGCAUUAAUGAACUUCCUAUCUCUUAAGACAGGCAAGUGCCCCUUCCAGUGAGUUCACACCAUAACAAGUCAAGCUGGCAUCCAAGCAUGAAUUCUGCAAUCCGACUUCACUGGUCUUAUUUAUUUUUUCAUAGCCAGCUGAGAAAUCUUAUAACUCUGAAGAGAACUAGUAAGCUGGCAGAGGUGUAGUAUAAAUAAAAUCUGUUUUCUUCAUCAUACACAUCUUUCACCAAUAGUUUUUAUUGCCAACUUGCUUAUUUGGCAGAGAUGUGAUUAAUGGCCUGAAGGAAAAACUGAAAGUUUGUAUGAUUUCAACUUGACUGCCACAUAUUAUAUAUAACUCCAUCACUGUCCCCUUCAUGUUUGAUGUGCCUUUUGGAAUGUAGAUGCACAAGUGCCCAUCCUACUGUAGCUGCAUGCCUGCCUAAAACAGGCAAAGUAAAUGGCUGCUGCCUCCAGGAUCCCAUACUGAGUAUAAAUGAACAGCAAAGCAGAGAGAAAAUGGGAAAAGCCUGCCUCACCAGCUAUUCAUCAGACAAACUAUUAUUGGUGUUUCAGCCAACAUGUACAAGUCUGUCAAGUCUGCGAAUCCUUUAGGAUCUGGAUCUGCAUUUGUGAAGCAUUUUAUCUUUGUACCUCCAACUGGAGGAGGAUCUUACCCAUUUUCAUAAAGAGUUGAAGACCACCUUUGAGUCACUGGAUUAAGCUGCUGAGUGUGCCCAAAGUUGCCAAGAUGGGUAGCGACUGAUGGGGUGGGGAGGAUUUCAUUUUUAGUAUAUUCUAGUGUUAUGUUUUAUUGUUUCAUCCUUUAUUAUAUAUGUUUGAUGUUCUGCAAUUUAGUGAAAAGGGUGUUAUAAAUAAACAUUACUGUUGUUAUUAUUAUUAUUAAACUUUAUUUCUAAAGCGCUGUAAUUAUAUGCUGUAAUAAUGUUGUUAUUAUAUUGGCUAAUGCCUCUGUUAUCCCAGCAUUUGUGACAUUCUGAACGCCUCUUUCAAUUUCUGUGAUUCUGUGUAAUAUCUUCAGAAUCUGAGCUUUUCAUGUUGUACCACUUCUCUUGACCAUGGUAAAAAAAAAACCUUCAAAUCUCAGAGAAAUGUGUAGACAUUAAAACAAUUAAGGAUGUAAA